GGAUCGGCUAACUCCGUGCCAGCAGCCGCCGGUAAUACGGAGGAUCCGAGCGUUAUCCCGGAUUUAUUGGGUUUAAAGGGUGCGUAGGUGGAUUGAUAAGUCAGUGGUGAAAAGUUUGCAGCUUAAACUGUAAAAUUGCCGUUGAAACUGUCGGUCUUGAGUGCAAAUGAGGUAGGCGGAAUGCGUCGUGUAGCGGUGAAAUGCUUAGAUAUGACGCAGAACUCCGAUUGCGAAGGCAGCUUACUGGGAUGCAACUGACACUGAGGCACGAAAGCGUGGGUAUCGAACAGGAUUAGAUACCCUGGUAGUCCACGCAGUAAACGAUGAAUACUAGCUGUCUGCGAUAUACAGUAGGCGGCACAGCGAAAGCGUUAAGUAUUCCACCUGGGGAGUACGUUCGCAAGAAUGAAACUCAAAGGAAUUGACGGGGGCCCGCACAAGCGGAGGAACAUGUGGUUUAAUUCGAUGAUACGCGAGGAACCUUACCCGGGCUUGAAAUGCAGAAGACCGAAGUGGAAACACUUCUUCCAGCAAUGGCUUCUGUGUAGGUGCUGCAUGAUUGUCGUCAGCUCGUGCCGUGAGGUGUCGGCUUAAGUGCCAUAACGAGCGCAACCCUUGUCGGUAGUUGCUAUCAGGUAAUGCUGGGGACUCUACCGAGACUGCCAUCGUAAGAUGCGAGGAAGGUGGGGAUGACGUCAAAUCAGCACGGCCCUUACGUCCGGGGCGACACACGUGUUACAAUGGGUGGUACAACGGGCAGCUACCGGGCGACCGGAUGCCAAUCUCUCAAAUCCACUCUCAGUUCGGAUCGAAGUCUGCAACCCGACUUCGUGAAGCUGGAUUCGCUAGUAAUCGCGCAUCAGCCACGGCGCGGUGAAUACGUUCCCGGGCCUUGCACACACCGCCCGU
rnacentral:rRNA from 1 species